GACGAACCGUGCGAACGUUAUUCGGAAUCACUGGGCUUAAAGCGCGUGUAGGCGGAAGGGCACGUCUGGUGCUGAAAUCCCCCGGCUCAACCGGGGAACGGGCACGGAUACGGCUCUUCUGGAGGAACGUAGGGGGACCUGGAACUUCCGGUGGAGCGGUGAAAUGCGUUGAGAUCGGAAGGAACGCCCGUGGCGAAAGCGAGGUCCUGGACGUUUACUGACGCUGAGACGCGAAAGCCAGGGGAGCGAACGGG
rnacentral:rRNA from 1 species